rnacentral:rRNA from 1 species
UUUCCCUACAGGACGCAGCAGUGAGGAAUAUUGGUCAAUGGGCGCGAGCCUGAACCAGCCAAGUCGCGUGAGGGAAGACGGUCCUAUGGAUUGUAAACCUCUUUUGCCGGGGAGCAAAAAGCGGUACGUGUACCGCAUCGAGAGUACCCGGAGAAAAAGCAUCGGCUAACUCCGUGCCAGCAGCCGCGGUAAUACGGAGGAUGCGAGCGUUAUCCGGAUUUAUUGGGUUUAAAGGGUGCGCAGGCGGCGAGUUAAGUCAGCGGUAAAAUGUCGGGGCUCAACCCCGGCCGGCCGUUGAAACUGGU